AGAGUUUGAUCAUGGCUCAGGAUGAACGCUGGCGGCGUGCCUAACACAUGCAAGUCGAGCGAUUCUCUUCGGAGAAGAGCGGCGGACGGGUGAGUAACGCGUGGGUAACCUGCCUCAUACACAUGGAUAACAUACCGAAAGGUAUGCUAAUACAAGAUGAUAUAAGAGAUUCGCAUGGAUUUCUUAUCAAAGCUCCGGCGGUAUGAGAUGGACCCGCGUCUGAUUAGCUAGUUGGUAAGGUAACGGCUUACCAAGGCGACGAUCAGUAGCCGACCUGAGAGGGUGAUCGGCCACAUUGGAACUGAGACACGGUCCAAACUCCUACGGGAGGCAGCAGUGGGGAAUAUUGCACAAUGGGCGAAAGCCUGAUGCAGCAACGCCGCGUGAGCGACGAAGGCCUUCGGGUCGUAAAGCUCUGUCCUCAAGGAAGAUAAUGACGGUACUUGAGGAGGAAGCCCCGGCUAACUACGUGCCAGCAGCCGCGGUAAUACGUAGGGGGCUAGCGUUAUCCGGAUUUACUGGGCGUAAAGGGUGCGUAGAUGGUUUCUUAAGUCAGGAGUGAAAGGCUACGGCUCAACCGUAGUAAGCUCUUGAAACUGGGAAACUUGAGUGCAGGAGAGGAAAGUGGAAUUCCUAGUGUAGCGGUGAAAUGCGUAGAUAUUAGGAGGAACACCAGUAGCGAAGGCGGCUUUCUGGACUGUAACUGACACUGAGGCACGAAAGCGUGGGGAGCAAACAGGAUUAGAUACCCUGCUAGUCCACGCCGUAAACGAUGAGUACUAGGUGUCGGGGGUUACCCCCCUCGGUGCCGCAGCUAACGCAUUAAGUACUCCGCCCGGGGA
rnacentral:rRNA from 1 species